rnacentral:rRNA from 1 species
CAGCAGCCGCGGUAAUACGUAGGUGGCAAGCGUUGUCCGGAAUUAUUGGGCGUAAAGGGCUCGCAGGCGGUUUCUUAAGUCUGAUGUGAAAGCCCCCGGCUCAACCGGGGAGGGUCAUUGGAAACUGGGAAACUUGAGUGCAGAAGAGGAGAGUGGAAUUCCACGUGUAGCGGUGAAAUGCGUAGAGAUGUGGAGGAACACCAGUGGCGAAGGCGACUCUCUGGUCUGUGACUGACGCUGAGGAGCGAAAGCGUGGGGAGCGAACAGGAUUAGAUACCCCUGUAGUCCCUGUCUCUUAUAC